UACGUAGGGUGCGAGCGUUGUCUGGAAUUAUUGGGCGUAAAGGGCUCGUAGGCGGCUCGUCGCGUCGACCGUGAAAACCCGCAGCUUAACUGCGGGCUUGCGGUUGAUACGGGCGGGCUAGAGUUCGGUAGGGGAGACUGGAAUUCCUGGUGUAGCGGUGAAAUGCGCAGAUAUCAGGAGGAACACCGAUGGCGAAGGCAGCUCGCUGGGACGGUACUGACGCUGAGGCGCGAAAGCGUGGGGAGCAAACAGG
rnacentral:rRNA from 1 species